AGACAAGAGUCUCAAUUUGUAACCCAGUUUUUCUCCGAGAGGUCUGCCAUCAAAUUCUUCACAGGAAUGAUAUCAGGAAUUUGUGAUGGCUGCCCUUAAACAUUGACUUUACUGUCCUUAAGGAGUCAAGAGACUUCCUGUCUGAGACCUCGCAGCUCCAAGAUUGAGAUACUCCUGGUCAGCAGGCUCUCAAUGGUUCCACUAUCUGAUGCUUCCAUUAUAAUUUUUUAUUAUUUUUUGAGCGAUUCCUGUUCUUGCUUAUGGAGGACCAAACCAACAUAAUAAGAAAUAAAAGAAUAAAUGUAUAAAUAAAAGAAUAAGUAUAUA